rnacentral:lncRNA from 1 species
GAAAACCCGUCACAUCCAAACUCCCCUGGCCAUCGGGACACUUGAGGGAGACCCCAGACCUUGCUGGCUCUGCGGGGGACUUUCCUUCUGCCCUGGACAGCUCUUGGGGCUGCGGGGACACCUGUUCCCACCCCCACCCGUCUGCGCCCCCCCUGUGCCUCGCUGGGCCCGUUCAUUAGGACUGAUGGCAUUACCCGGGACAGAAGGCCUCCUCCGAACGGAGAACAGUCCUCCGCUGACCUGGUUCAGAACGUCAUUGUCACCGUGGCAGCCUCACCACGUGAAGGUGAAGCACAGGGACAAUUUUGUGGUUCCAGCAGUGAACCCGGUCACCCUGGGGGAAGGAAGCCUGGACGUAGGAAGACCUUGGGAUCGACCCCUGCCACAGCAACUGGCUGUGUGUCCUAGGAAAAUUGCUCACCUUCUCUGGGUCGCCGUUUCUUUAUUACCGUAGAUGGGGCAAAUUUUACUAGUGAGAGUGUGGCCUGAUUCCCCCGUGGGUUUGAUGGAGGUGCCAGUCAUGGCAAUGUCCAGUACCAUGGUUGUGUCCUAGGCCUGGCCAAUGAGGCCGGGCCUGUGAGCCGGACAGGGUCCUUGGUCCAGUCGGUGUACACGGCGCUGGCCUGGAAGAGAGACCCUCCCUCUACCCUUGGCUGGACCACGGUGGUGGCCGUGUGGAGCCGGGCAGCAGUGCCUCUGGCCCUCCUGGGUGCCUUCAACUCCCUCCCCAGCCCAGCCACAGAGCGCUUGCCCAGCAGGUGCGAGCCCGGGUCCCACCCCCGGGGGACGGGCCUCCUCUGCCCUGCCCCUACCAGGACGCGCUGCCUCACCACGGCCCAAAGCAGCAG